rnacentral:rRNA from 1 species
AGAGUUUGAUCCUGGCUCAGGAUGAACGCUAGCUACAGGCUUAACACAUGCAAGUCGAGGGGAAACGACAUCGAAAGCUUGCUUUUGAUGGGCGUCGACCGGCGCACGGGUGAGUAACGCGUAUCCAACCUGCCCACCACUUGGGGAUAACCUUGCGAAAGUAAGACUAAUACCCAAUGAUAUCUCUAGAAGACAUCUGAAAGAGAUUAAAGAUUUAUCGGUGAUGGAUGGGGAUGCGUCUGAUUAGCUUGUUGGCGGGGUAACGGCCCACCAAGGCGACGAUCAGUAGGGGUUCUGAGAGGAAGGUCCCCCACAUUGGAACUGAGACACGGUCCAAACUCCUACGGGAGGCAGCAGUGAGGAAUAUUGGUCAAUGGGCGAGAGCCUGAACCAGCCAAGUAGCGUGCAGGAUGACGGCCCUAUGGGUUGUAAACUGCUUUUAUAAGGGAAUAAAGUGAGUCUCGUGAGACUUUUUGCAUGUACCUUAUGAAUAAGGACCGGCUAAUUCCGUGCCAGCAGCCGCGGUAAUACGGAAGGUCCGGGCGUUAUCCGGAUUUAUUGGGUUUAAAGGGAGCGUAGGCCGGAGAUUAAGCGUGUUGUGAAAUGUAGAUGCUCAACAUCUGCACUGCAGCGCGAACUGGUUUCCUUGAGUACGCACAAAGUGGGCGGAAUUCGUGGUGUAGCGGUGAAAUGCUUAGAUAUCACGAAGAACUCCGAUUGCGAAGGCAGCUCACUGGAGCGCAACUGACGCUGAAGCUCGAAAGUGCGGGUAUCGAACAGGAUUAGAUACCCUGGUAGUCCGCACGGUAAACGAUGGAUGCCCGCUGUUGGUCUGAAUAGGUCAGCGGCCAAGCGAAAGCAUUAAGCAUCCCACCUGGGGAGUACGCCGGCAACGGUGAA